CCUACGGGUGGCUGCAGUGGGGAAUAUUGGACAAUGGGCGAAAGCCUGAUCCAGCCAUGCCGCGUGUGUGAAGAAGGCCUUCGGGUUGUAAAGCACUUUCAGUGGGGAAGAAAGCCUUGGGGCUAAUACCCUCGAGGAAGGACAUCACCCACAGAAGAAGCACCGGCUAACUCCGUGCCAGCAGCCGCGGUAAUACGGAGGGUGCGAGCGUUAAUCGGAAUUACUGGGCGUAAAGCGCGCGUAGGCGGUCUGAUAAGCCGGUUGUGAAAGCCCCGGGCUCAACCUGGGAACGGCAUCCGGAACUGUCAGGCUAGAGUGCAGGAGAGGAAGGUAGAAUUCCCGGUGUAGCGGUGAAAUGCGUAGAGAUCGGGAGGAAUACCAGUGGCGAAGGCGGCCUUCUGGACUGACACUGACGCUGAGGUGCGAAAGCGUGGGUAGCAAACAGGAUUAGAUACCCGAGUAUC
rnacentral:rRNA from 1 species